UACGAAGGGGGGCUAGCGUUGUUCGGAAUUACUGGGCGUAAAGGGCGCGUAGGCGGUCCCUCAAGUCAGGCGUGAAAGCCCCGGGCUCAACCUGGGAACCGCGCUUGAGACUGAUGGGCUAGAGUUCGGGAGAGGAUGGUGGAAUUCCCAGUGUAGAGGUGAAAUUCGUAGAUAUUUGGGAAGAACACCGAUGGCGAAGGCAGCCAUCUGGACCGACACUGACGCUGAGGCGCGAAAGCGUGGGGAGCAAACAGG
rnacentral:rRNA from 1 species